rnacentral:rRNA from 1 species
GCCUACGGGGGGCAGCAGUAGGGAAUCUUCCACAAUGGGCGAAAGCCUGAUGGAGCAACGCCGCGUGGGUGAAGAAGGUCUUCGGAUCGUAAAACCCUGUUGUUAGAGAAGAAAGUGCGUGAGAGUAACUGUUCACGUUUCGACGGUAUCUAACCAGAAAGCCACGGCUAACUACGUGCCAGCAACCGCGGUAAUACGUAGGUGGCAAGCGUUAUCCGGAUUUAUUGGGCGUAAAGGGAACGCAGGCGGUCUUUUAAGUCUGAUGUGAAAGCCUUCGGCUUAACCGGAGUAGUGCAUUGGAAACU